AGGGGGUGGUUGGUUGGUUGAGGUGGUUGUGGUUGAGGUGGUGUGGUUGUGGUAUGGUUAGGUUAGGUUAGGUUAGGUUAGUGGUAUGGUUAGGUUAGGUUAAGUUAGGUUGGUUGUACAGUUAGGUUAGGUUAAGUUAGGUUGGUGGUGUGGUUAGGUUAGGUUAAGUUAGGUUGCUGGUAUGGUUAGGUUAGGUUAAGUUAGGUUGCUGGUAUGGUUAGGUUAGGUUAAGUUAAGUUGGUGACUGGUUGUAGUUAAGUUUGGUUAGGUUAGGUUGAGAAGAUGUCGCAGUACUGUGGAGGGAGUGGUGGUUGGUUGAGGUGGUUGUGGCUGGUUGUUGUGUGGUUGUAGUUAAGUUUGGUUAGGUUAGGUUGAGAAGAUGUCUAGUACUGUGGAGGGAGUGGUGGUUGGUUGAGGUGGUUGUGGCUGGUUGUUGUGUGGUUGUAGUUAAGUUUGGUUAGGUUAGGUUGAGGAGAUGUCGCAGUACUGUGGAGGGAGUGGUAGUUGGUUGAGGUGGUUGUGGCUGGUUGUUGUGUGGUUGUAGUUAAGUUUGGUUAGGUUAGGUUGAGAAGAUGUCGCAGUACUGUGGAGGGAGUGGUGGUUGGUUGAGGUGGUUGUGGCUGGUUGUUGUGUGGUUGUAGUUAAGUUUGGUUAGGUUAGGUUGAGAAGAUGUCGCAGUACUGUGGAGGGAGUGGUGGUUGGUUGAGGUGGCUGGGGUUGGUUGUUGUGUGGUUGUAGUAAUGGUAUGUGUGGUGGUUAGGUUAAAUUAGGUUGCUGUUGAUGGUGGUUGAAGCAGGGUGGCGUCAAACCCAACGAACCCCAAAUUAAAACAAUAUUAAAGUUAUAUAUACUUCACGCAUGGACCCAAAUAUUAAUGCAAAUGAUUUAAGAGUUACGAAAUUAAAACAAAGAUUCCUAACAAUGUUCUGGAUAAUACCGAAUUUUUUUCCGCCUCCAUCCGUGAAAUUAAAAGACUCAGUGCUGUUUUAAAUGUUGUUGUGUUUCUGAAUUUUAAAGUAUUGUCUUCCGGGAAUUAACACCCGCAAAGUCUCUGCUGACCUUUCUCACUUAAGAGCCUUUUUUUAAGCAUGGGGACCUUAGAGGCGCGGGGCCCAAUGCAGUUUCAUGGCUCGUAUUGGCCUAGGGUUGGUCCUGGUAGGGGUGGUCAGGUUAGGUCAGCAGUAACACCAGUUGUAAAGUGGGUUCCCCAAGCCCGAGGUGGGUAUCAUGGUGUGCGGUCACUCUGCUGCCAUACACAGGACACGCACCAACGCUAACAAACACCGCCAAGUAUUGUUGAUUUUGAGUUACAAGUCUUCGGUAGUCACAAACAGAUGUAUUGUUAAUUGACAAGAUCGCUGAUUGUAAUUGUUAAACAGUCUCGGUGGUGUCUGACAACCAUUAAAUUUGCCAAGUAUUGUUGAUUUUGAGUUACAAGUCUUUGGUAGUCACAAACAGAUGUAUUGUUGAUUUACAGGAUCGCUGAUUGUAAUUUAAACAGCCUUGGUGGUGUCUGACAACCAUUAAAUUUGCCAAGUAUUGUUGAUUUUGAGUUACAAGUCUUUGGUAGUCACAAACACCUGUAUUGUUAAUUGACAAGAUCGCUGAUUGUAAUUUAAACAGUCUUGGUGGUGUCUGACAACCAUUAAAUUUGCCAAGUAUUGUUGAUUUCGAGUUACAAGUCUUUGGUAGUCACAAACAGAUGUAUUGUUGAUUUACAAGAUCACUGAUUGUAAUUUAAACAGCCUUGGUGGUGUCUGACAACCAUUAAAUUUGCCAAGUAUUGUUGAUUUCGAGUUACAAGUCUUUGGUAGUCACAAACAGAUGUAUUGUUAAUUGACAAGAUCGCUGAUUGUAAUUUAAACAGUCUUGGUGGUGUCUGACAACCAUUAAAUUUGCCAAGUAUUGUUGAUUUUGAGUUACAAGUCUUUGGUAGUCACAAACAGAUGUAUUGUUAAUUGACAAGAUCGCUGAUUGUAAUUGUUAAACAGUCUCGGUGGUGUCUGACAACCAUUAAAUUUUCAGGCUUUAUAUCAACAAAACAGCAUUUAUUUUUUAUUUUUAACAAGAAAGGAGGCAGCUCAAGGGCACACAAAAAAAAAGAAAACAAUAAUAAAAAAAGCCCGCUACUCGCUCCUCCUAAAAAAGAAACAAGAGAGGAGGCCGAAAGCAAGAUCAGAUAUGGGACGAGAGAUGUCCCGAUGUUUGGGACGGUACUAAGAAUUCUUGCUAAAAACUGAUCAUAAUUGACAUUGUUGUUGGUGGAUGUUGCCGACACUGACCGCCAUGUCCUGUGUGUGGUUGGCAUGCACCACACACCAAACUGGACACACCAUGGGGCUGCAGGACGCUGGUACACGAUUCUGCCCACCAACGCACCAAAUAUAGGAGUGGUAGGCAUGGUGGUAGUGGGUGUGGUGGUGGUGGUGGUGGUGGUACAGAUGAGACAAAGCAGAUAAGGCAGAUAAUGAGAUAAAGCAAGAGGAAGAAGCAGAGGAAA